rnacentral:lncRNA from 1 species
GGUACGGUGAUGACACAAAAUGAGAUGAGUGUGAGAAGGAGUAGAAAGUAUUUACUCACGUCUGCUCAAGCCUCCGUAUUGUCAAUAUAGGGUCUGUCAAGAUUCGUCCUUUCAUCAAUUAAAGAAAGACGUUCAGGGUUUCAUUCGUUGCUCAGCAAAUGCAUUACACUGGUUUCAAAUUUACCUUGACAGGAUUGUAUUAAGUCAUGUUGAAUACUUAAAUUUUCCGACUAGUGUGCCAAAUUUAUAACACCGUUCCAAUUCGAACAGUCCCAUAGACCCCCCGUGGCCGAGCUCGCCAAUUCUCACGCCAGUCGCUCAUGCAUAUUGUCGACGAGGUUUCAAAACAGUGGAGGAUUGUUCAAGUCCAAUGUGGCGCCGGUGCAACCCAGCAUAGCAGCAUCUGUACAAAAAAUAUCAUUUCAUAUGCGGGCACUCUUGACCCCAAUCAAUACUACGAUGCCGUCUCAGAGUAGUUGUCCCUAAUCCAACAACCCUCCUAUCUACGAUACCUAUCGACUACAAUGUCCACAAUGUGUCGCUCCUCAUCUCGCCAACGACCCGGUUGGCAAUCCGGAUGGACUAGCUUACGCGGCGGGCUUGAACUUGGUCUGCAAGUCCAUCACAUCCAUGUCCUUGAGCUGGAACGCCCUGGCCAGUACCGAGGUGUCGAUUGACGGCUGUGCUGCGAACACGGCGGUGGAGAACUGUACGCCGGGGUUCUGCCCGUUCAACACCGAGAUCGUCACGGCGUGACCGCUGCCCACAUUCAGCUGGAAGUGCACCAAUCCCUUGGGGAACACGAAGAAGUCGCCCCUCUUCAGGCUCGUUGCGAAGAGCUUCCCGGCGGUGUCGACGAAUCCGACGUGCACCUCUCCCUUCACCACGUAGAUCACCUCCGCGGCCCUGGGGUGGGUGUGAGGGGGCACGAGCCCACCCUUGGCGUAGUUGAACUUGGCCAACGCGAAUCCAAGGGUGUUCAACCCGGGGUAGUUGAUGCCCGCGAACCCUGGUGCAAGCGCGAUGCCGAGGGGGUUGUUGGUGUCUCCGUCCUUGCGGAAGCCCCUGAACGCGAAGUCCUCCGACAUGGCAGACGAGGCAGGCUUGCAGGCCAGGCCGUUGAUGGUGAUCUUGCUAGCCAAAUCCGCCACACAAUAGUCGUUGAUGGGGUCGGCAUCACUAGCAGAUGCCAAAGCAACCAGAGAUGCGACGACGACGAGGAUAGCGAAGGGCUUGGCCAUUUUGAGUGAUAAUCCCAAACUACUAAAUGGUUGGGUGAGAGAAAACCACUGCAGAUGUCUGGUCCCCUACACUCUUACUGUCGUGAAGUUCCUAUAUACUCCGUCGGAAUGCUUGCCACAUCAUACAUUUGUUGAGAAGCGGUCACAGAAGCCGCUGGGUGUUGCCUUUCCAGUCUGACGGUGGACCCACACCGAGACGUGGAACUCGAUCACCAAUCAAUAGUUCUGUCACUUACCCUCGAAGAGGUUUCGCGUAAAUACCGCUGUGACCCACAAUUCAGCUCCCCGCGCAUCUCACUACGGACCGGUCGAGAUUGGAAUGUCGGCACGAAGCACUUCUACUUCAUCCUGAACACACUGCACAACCCUGCAACAGUCGAUGAGAAGUCCUAAAGCCCAUUUACAGGUCCUCAUUCUACGGUACUGCGACGCGGCAGCAGGUCCACCAAUCAAGGCAGCUGUUAGGCCUUCUUACCCUGAACGGAUUUUUCGCUGCGGUUGUCAAUGCCAGGUAUUUAUGAUCUUCGCAUUUUUAAAGGUAAAAUGAUCGGCACCAGAGGGGUAGAAAUGUCUGGAUCACUCCCCGCGGAGUUCAUUUAGUAACUAGUGUGUUACUUGUAAGCUAGGAAAACUUCUCUCCUGUAUAUUACUGUUUUUCUGGUAAUAAAGUGGUAUGGAUUAUACCCGAUGUAAUGGUGUAAAGUAGGUUAUGGGCUCGAAGCUUCAAAACUGGGCAUGAUUGAGAGUUCUGCUGGUUGCUUAACCUAGCUUGCAUUGAUAGAGUGAAUUGAAUAGAGAGCGUUUUGAAUUUGCCACACAAGUUUACUGCCUACUUCAGUCCUCGUGGUCAUUUGCUUGAUUUUCUUGAUUUUUUUCUUAGGGACUGCACUUCUUCUUACCUUUCUAUUUUUUCUGUUGACUUGAUGUUUUUCAUCUUGGUUACCAUGUCUAUUGAAAAAAGAUUUAAUAGGCAUUCAGUGUUUCAAUAGUACUGAGUUUCAUUGCAUGAAAAUGUCAAAUUAGAAAUUUGUUUUGUGACAAAGGAUACAUUCAACAUUUUGAUGGCACUGUUGAAUAUGAUUCAGAUGAUGAAGGCUGGAAAAAUUGUGAUUACAACGUAUAUACAUUACUUACUUCUUUAAUUGAAAGAAAUGUUUAGGCUCUAUUAACUAGUUGCACAUGAGGUUUGAGCUCAUCUUUUAAAAAAAUAUGAGCACAAGAAUAGCAAAAAUAUUCAUGAGUUAUAGUGCCAAUUUUUUGAUGCUAAGUUAGAAAACAAUCAAUUUAUAUCUAACUUUAUUGCUCAACUUGAACUCAGCAUGAGUAAGCUCCAAGAAUUUGAUAAUUCACAUUCUUUGGAUGCCUUCAAGAUGUCUAAGUUUAGAGACUAACUUACUUGCUAGUUUUGAUGGUUUUACCACUGCCUAAAAGAGCACUUCUAAAGAAGAUCGUAUCUUAGCUAAUCUUAAGCUUUUCCUAUGUGAGGAGGAGAAGAAGAUUUUAUGGCGCAUACAACAAGAAGUUGCUUUGGAUAGCAAAGCUUUUUAUACCAGUCAUGGACAUCUUUCUAUUAGUAUAAGCUAUAGAGGCCAAUCUACUUGUAGGAGUCUUCAUGCACGCAGAUUCUUUAUUGAUAUACUUCCAUAUGGUUAUAUAAAUCCAUUGUACCUUCAUUUUGAUGAGCAUUAUACUUUGCAAUUUCCUACUCUUCUAUUCUAUAGACUCUUUUCUAAACCUCUAUUGCCAUUAGCAAAACAAACUUUGUUUCCACCAACUCAUUUAUAAACUCAUAGGAAUGCCAAGAUUGCAAAAAUGAAGUGUAGAACAAGAUGUAAUAAUUGUGGUCGACUUGAUCAUUGGUGGUAAGAAUGUCUGCAUAUAUUUUAAGAGCUUGUCUAUAGGCCACUCAUUUUGUAUUUUGGACCUUAUAUUCAAGCAUCUUUUGUUGAGUUAUUGGAUUCCAAUCAUUCUUUUUUAUCUCCAAAGGUUGCAUAUCCAGAUGUGGAGUAUUAUUCUUCAUUUACUUCUUACAAUUAUGAUGAUGUACAUUCAAACUAGUUCAAUUUUAAUAAACAAGAUAUAAAAAAAUAAAAAUAAAUAAAUAAAAAAAAAUCAGAUUUCUCUCUCAAUAUUAUCCAUAUUUAUAUAGCAUUAGCAUCAAGGAGAAUCAAAGAUGACUAGAUUACUAAUAGGAGAGCCAUUCAUCACAUUAUUGAUAAACUCCAAUGGUUUAUUAGCUACAAACCAUUACCACCUAAUGCUAUUUGGCUUGUCAAAAUCUCUGUUGGUUACAAGUGCUACAUAACCAAUACAAGUAACAACAAAAUUUUGGUUUAGCUUCUUAAUCAAAUAGAAGCUCAUCUUUUUCAGCAAGUUCUCUAUAUCCUUGGAUUUGGCCAAAAUCUCUUGUCUCAUUAAAGUUGCGAGACAACAUAAAUUUUUUAUUAUGUACAAAGAUCAUACUUGUGAACUUCAUUAAGGCAAUAGCCUUAUCAUGGCUAGCUGUAUGCUUUAAAUAUCUUACAUUUUAAAUUUCAUUGUCUUGCUUCCUCCAAGAGAUGUUUCUUAUAUAGCAUCUUAUAAAAACAUUGCUUCUUUAAUAGAAUUAUAGGAUAUUGAAACUUGACACCUUUGCCUUGAUCACUUAUACUAUGAUAUGAUUAAAAAGAUGGCUACCAAUGGUUCAAUCAUUAAGAUAUAACUCAAGACUACUAAAUCUCCAAAAAUAUAUUUAAAUUGCACCUUUGAAAAAUCUUGCAGGCCAAUGUUUUCUAAGAACAUUAUUAGAAGUCAAUCCACAAUGCUAGGGAUGCUUCUUCACAACAAUAUCUAUGAUUCCAUGAGUGUGCAUUUUCAUGAUGGAUCAUUAUAUUACAUUUGAUUCUAAGAUGAUUGUACAUGUUAUCAUUUUAUUUUUUCUAUUCUUCAUAAAUCAAAUGUACUUACUUAUUUUCAAUAAAUUUGCAAAAUUAUAUUUUGAGAUACAAGCUAUAAGGUUCUUACAUUACAAACUAGUAAUGUAGGUGAAUUUUGUAGCAAAUGUUUUAGUAAUUAUCUACAUAUAGAAGGAAUCAAAUAUGAAUUGAUUGUAUCAUAUAUUCCAAAACAAAAUGUUGUCUUAGAGAAAGAUAAUCAAAUUAUUAUAGAAGUUGUUAGAAGUUUGAUCUACUAUACUCACUUAGAUCCUAUGUUUUGGAUAGAGGCUUUAAAUAAUAUUGGUUAUACUUUAAAUCAAAUAUGUUCUUGUCUUCUUCCAAAUGCUAUUAUUUUCAAAGCUUUUAUUGAUAAAAGUAACCAUGUCUUGCCCAUAUGCAAUCAUUUUGUUGCAAAGUUAAUUCUCAUAUUUUUAAUAAGCUUUGUAAGAAACUCAAUCCAAAGAGCAAAACUAGAUUAUUUCUUAGAUAUUCCAAUGAGACUAAGGGCUAGUGCAUUUGGAACUUAUAUCAUAAACAAAUUAUCAUCAGUAGAGAUGUAUUGUUUGAUGAGCAUAAUUAUGCUCAAGAAACACCAUCUAUUGCUUUUUAGUCUUCCAACACUACAUCUAUGGAAGUUCAUUUUCUAAAAUUUCAAUACCCUCUUUUAGUGGAGAUAAAUCAUAAUUAUUGUACCUCAAGUUUUAAUUUUCUUAUCUCCUCAAAUUCAAUUUAGAUUCCUUAUUUAACAUCAAGUAAUAUAGUUAGUACUUCAAAUACUUCCAAUAUGACAAGUAGUGAGAGUACUUCUACUCUAGGUAAUGACAAUGUUGAUUUCAUUGAUAAUUACUUUAAUGAAGUUUAUAUUCAAUCUUUAAAAACAACUCGCAUUGUACUUUUGCAAAUUCUAUUAUGACUCUACCAUUUGCUUUAGCUUUAAAGUCUCUAGUAUCUUCAUUUGGAUUUCUACAUGAGGUUCCUCAAUUAUAUCACAAGACACUUCAUUUCUUUUAUUCUUUACAAUCAAAAAAAGUAAUGCAAGCAUAGUAUGAAUCUUUAUUUGACAAUAAAACAUGGAAGUUUAUAGACUUACUCUUGUGGUACAAAUCCAUUAAUUGUAAAUGGAUCUAUGCUCUCAAAACUAAAACUAAUGAUAUUAUUGAUUGUUUUAAAGAAAGAUUAGUGGCUAAAGGUUAUUCAUAGAAAAUUGGUGUUGAUUUUAUUAAGACUUAUUCUCCUAUUGUGAAGUAUAAUUCAAUCCAAUUGGUUCUUUCAAUUGUUGCAUGGAAGGAUAUGCAUAUUUGACAAUUCAAUAUUAAGACUACUUUUUUACAUGGUCAACUUGAACAUUAGACAUAUAUGAAGCAAGUCCCUAGAUUUGAAGAUCCUUAAAUUUUUCAUAAGGUCUAUUGCCAGAAAAAGACAUUGUAUGGUUUACAGCAAGCAAAGCUAUACAUAGAAUAAAUGCAUAACCUAAUUUUUAGUAACCUAUAAGCUUAAACAAAGUAUUGUUGAUGCUUGUAUCUAUUGUUCCGAUACAAAUAAUCAACUCAUUCUCAUAAUGUUUGUUGAUGAUGAUUUGUAUUGUUGCCAAGAUGCUUGCCGCAUUCUCUAUGUUCUUAUGAUAAUAAACAACAUUGUUGAAACAAAGAUCAAUGAUCCAGAUACUUAAGUGAGGUUGCAAAUUGAAUGUGAUUGUUUUGCUACACUCAUUUUUAUACAUCAAUGUGCUUAUUUGGAGAGAAUUCUUUGUGAAUAUGGAUUUUCUAAAUCUUCAUCCAUUUCAACUCCAAUUUCUUCUAAUUCUUUUCUUUGUGGCAUCAAUUCUAUCAAUACAAAAUUUAAUAAUAAAUUUCCUUUUGUCAAUGCUAUUGGUAGUCUCUAAUUUGCCUCAAUAGAUAAUUGCUGUGAUAUUAUCUACUCACUAAAUAAUAUUACUCAUUUUAAAUCAAGAUUUACUCAAACUUAUUAUAAUGCUAUUAAAAAGAUAUUUUGGUAUAUUUAGAUAACUUUGGAUUCCAACCUUGUAUAUGGUGGAACAAAUUCUUUGACUCAAUUCACUAGGUUUGUUGAUGCAAAUUAAGCGGCCAAUUUGGACAAUCAACAAUCACAUAUUUGAUACGUUUUAUUUUUAAAUGACGGAUCUAUUAGUUGGGGCUCAAAGAAACAAUAUUGUUUAGUCAAUAUUACUACAUAUUCCAAUUAUAUCAUCUUCUUUAUGGCUACAAAAGAAAUAAUUUUGUAUCGACAAAUGCUAGCAGAUCUUGGAUUUCUUGAAGAGAAAGCUACCAUUGUUUACUCUAAUUCUCAAAGUGCAAUUCAAUUGAUAGUUAAACCCAAGUUUCAUUCAAGAACCAAGCAUGUUGAUAUUGAAUAUCACAUGUUUCCAAGAAAAAAUUAAGAAUGGUGUUUUACAUAUUGAUUAUAUUUCUAUGAAUGCCAACAUAGCAAACAUUUUUACAAAAGCCUUGAAUCUUGAAAAAUUCAAGAAAUUACAUGCUUUUCUUACUAUAUAUUCUUGCUAAUACUUUACUUCUCCAUUGUAGUGAGAGUAUUACUACAUGUUGUAAUAUCAAUAGAGAAGUUAUUCUUUAAUGAAAAUUCAGUAACUAGUGUGUUAUUUUUAAGAAGGAAUAACUUCUCCCCCAGUACAUUACUAUUUUUCUUGUUGUAAUGAAGUGGCAUGAAUUAUACCCGAUGUAAUGGUGUUAAGUGCCGUGAGCCAACUUAAUUGCCACUGGGCUAGCUUUCUUGCUAGCUGCUCUAACUACUACCCUCAAGUCUACUGAUCUUCACCUUUGCAUUCCCUCGCAAUAUUCACAAAUACACUCAGAAAAAUUAGAGUACACAGUUGGAAACCAACUAAAAGACACGGGUACGGUGAUGACACAAAAUGAGAUGAGUGUGAGAAGGAGUAGAAAGUAUUUACUCACGUCUGCUCAAGCCUCCGUAUUGUCAAUAUAGGGUCUGUCAAGAUUCGUCCUUUCAUCAAUUAAAGAAAGACGUUCAGGGUUUCAUUCGUUGCUCAGCAAAUGCAUUACACUGGUUUCAAAUUUACCUUGACAGGAUUGUAUUAAGUCAUGUUGAAUACUUAAAUUUUCCGACUAGUGUGCCAAAUUUAUAACACCGUUCCAAUUCGAACAGUCCCAUAGACCCCCCGUGGCCGAGCUCGCCAAUUCUCACGCCAGUCGCUCAUGCAUAUUGUCGACGAGGUUUCAAAACAGUGGAGGAUUGUUCAAGUCCAAUGUGGCGCCGGUGCAACCCAGCAUAGCAGCAUCUGUACAAAAAAUAUCAUUUCAUAUGCGGGCACUCUUGACCCCAAUCAAUACUACGAUGCCGUCUCAGAGUAGUUGUCCCUAAUCCAACAACCCUCCUAUCUACGAUACCUAUCGACUACAAUGUCCACAAUGUGUCGCUCCUCAUCUCGCCAACGACCCGGUUGGCAAUCCGGAUGGACUAGCUUACGCGGCGGGCUUGAACUUGGUCUGCAAGUCCAUCACAUCCAUGUCCUUGAGCUGGAACGCCCUGGCCAGUACCGAGGUGUCGAUUGACGGCUGUGCUGCGAACACGGCGGUGGAGAACUGUACGCCGGGGUUCUGCCCGUUCAACACCGAGAUCGUCACGGCGUGACCGCUGCCCACAUUCAGCUGGAAGUGCACCAAUCCCUUGGGGAACACGAAGAAGUCGCCCCUCUUCAGGCUCGUUGCGAAGAGCUUCCCGGCGGUGUCGACGAAUCCGACGUGCACCUCUCCCUUCACCACGUAGAUCACCUCCGCGGCCCUGGGGUGGGUGUGAGGGGGCACGAGCCCACCCUUGGCGUAGUUGAACUUGGCCAACGCGAAUCCAAGGGUGUUCAACCCGGGGUAGUUGAUGCCCGCGAACCCUGGUGCAAGCGCGAUGCCGAGGGGGUUGUUGGUGUCUCCGUCCUUGCGGAAGCCCCUGAACGCGAAGUCCUCCGACAUGGCAGACGAGGCAGCCUUGCAGGCCAGGCCGUUGAUGGUGACCUUGCUAGCCAAAUCGGCCACACAAUAGUCGUUGAUGGGGUCGGCAUCACUAGCAGAUGCCAAAGCAACCAGAGAUGCGACGACGACGAGGAUAGCGAAGAGCUUGGCCAUUUUGAGUGAUAAUCCCAAACUACUAAAUGGUUGGGUGAGAGAAAACCACUGCAGAUGUCUGGUCCCCUACACUCUUACUGUCGUGAAGUUCCUAUAUACUCCGUCGGAAUGCUUGCCACAUCAUACAUUUGUUGAGAAGCGGUCACAGAAGCCGCUGGGUGUUGCCUUUCCAGUCUGACGGUGGACCCACACCGAGACGUGGAACUCGAUCACCAAUCAAUAGUUCUGUCACUUACCCUCGAAGAGGUUUCGCGUAAAUACCGCUGUGACCCACAAUUCAGCUCCCCGCGCAUCUCACUACGGACCGGUCGAGAUUGGAAUGUCGGCACGAAGCACUUCUACUUCAUCCUGAACACACUGCACAACCCUGCAACAGUCGAUGAGAAGUCCUAAAGCCCAUUUACAGGUCCUCAUUCUACGGUACUGCGACGCGGCAGCAGGUCCACCAAUCAAGGCAGCUGUUAGGCCUUCUUACCCUGAACGGAUUUUUCGCUGCGGUUGUCAAUGCCAGGUAUUUAUGAUCUUCGCAUUUUUAAAGGUAAAAUGGUCGGCACCAGAGGGGUAGAAAUGUCUGGAUCACUCCCCGCGGAGUUCAUUUAGUAACUAGUGUGUUACUUGUAAGCUAGGAAAACUUCUCUCCUGUAUAUUACUGUUUUUCUGGUAAUAAAGUGGUAUGGAUUAUACCCGAUGUAAUGGUGUAAAGUAGGUUAUGGGCUCGAAGCUUCAAAACUGGGCAUGAUUGAGAGUUCUGCUGGUUGCUUAACCUAGCUUGCAUUGAUAGAGUGAAUUGAAUAGAGAGCGUUUUGAAUUUGCCACACAAGUUUACUGCCUACUUCAGUCCUCGUGGUCAUUUGCUUGAUUUUCUUGAUUUUUUUCUUAGGGACUGCACUUCUUCUUACCUUUCUAUUUUUUCUGUUGACUUGAUGUUUUUCAUCUUGGUUACCAUGUCUAUUGAAAAAAGAUUUAAUAGGCAUUCAGUGUUUCAAUAGUACUGAGUUUCAUUGCAUGAAAAUGUCAAAUUAGAAAUUUGUUUUGUGACAAAGGAUACAUUCAACAUUUUGAUGGCACUGUUGAAUAUGAUUCAGAUGAUGAAGGCUGGAAAAAUUGUGAUUACAACGUAUAUACAUUACUUACUUCUUUAAUUGAAAGAAAUGUUUAGGCUCUAUUAACUAGUUGCACAUGAGGUUUGAGCUCAUCUUUUAAAAAAAUAUGAGCACAAGAAUAGCAAAAAUAUUCAUGAGUUAUAGUGCCAAUUUUUUGAUGCUAAGUUAGAAAACAAUCAAUUUAUAUCUAACUUUAUUGCUCAACUUGAACUCAGCAUGAGUAAGCUCCAAGAAUUUGAUAAUUCACAUUCUUUGGAUGCCUUCAAGAUGUCUAAGUUUAGAGACUAACUUACUUGCUAGUUUUGAUGGUUUUACCACUGCCUAAAAGAGCACUUCUAAAGAAGAUCGUAUCUUAGCUAAUCUUAAGCUUUUCCUAUGUGAGGAGGAGAAGAAGAUUUUAUGGCGCAUACAACAAGAAGUUGCUUUGGAUAGCAAAGCUUUUUAUACCAGUCAUGGACAUCUUUCUAUUAGUAUAAGCUAUAGAGGCCAAUCUACUUGUAGGAGUCUUCAUGCACGCAGAUUCUUUAUUGAUAUACUUCCAUAUGGUUAUAUAAAUCUAUUGUACCUUCAUUUUGAUGAGCAUUGUACUUUGCAAUUUCCUACUCUUCUAUUCUAUAGACUCUUUUCUAAACCUCUAUUGCCAUUAGCAAAACAAACUUUGUUUCCACCAACUCAUUUAUAAACUCAUAGGAAUGCCAAGAUUGCAAAAAUGAAGUGUAGAACAAGAUGUAAUAAUUGUGGUCGACUUGAUCAUUGGUGGUAAGAAUGUCUGCACAUAUUUUAAGAGCUUGUCUAUAGGCCACUCAUUUUGUAUUUUGGACCUUAUAUUCAAGCAUCUUUUGUUGAGUUAUUGGAUUCCAAUCAUUCUUUUUUAUCUCCAAAGGUUGCAUAUCCAGAUGUGGAGUAUUAUUCUUCAUUUACUUCUUACAAUUAUGAUGAUGUACAUUCAAACUAGUUCACUUUUAAUAAACAAGAUAUAAAAAAAUAAAAAUAAAUAAAUAAAAAAAAAUCAGAUUUCUCUCUCAAUAUUAUCCAUAUUUAUAUAGCAUUAGCAUCAAGGAGAAUCAAAGAUGACUAGAUUACUAAUAGGAGAGCCAUUCAUCACAUUAUUGAUAAACUCCAAUGGUUUAUUAGCUACAAACCAUUACCACCUAAUGCUAUUUGGCUUGUCAAAAUCUCUGUUGGUUACAAGUGCUACAUAACCAAUACAAGUAACAACAAAAUUUUGGUUUAGCUUCUUAAUCAAAUAGAAGCUCAUCUUUUUCAGCAAGUUCUCUAUAUCCUUGGAUUUGGCCAAAAUCUCUUGUCUCAUUAAAGUUGCGAGACAACAUAAAUUUUUUAUUAUGUACAAAGAUCAUACUUGUGAACUUCAUUAAGGCAAUAGCCUUAUCAUGGCUAGCUGUAUGCUUUAAAUAUCUUACAUUUUAAAUUUCAUUGUCUUGCUUCCUCCAAGAGAUGUUUCUUAUAUAGCAUCUUAUAAAAACAUUGCUUCUUUAGUAGAAUUAUAGGAUAUUGAAACUUGACACCUUUGCCUUGAUCACUUAUACUAUGAUAUGAUUAAAAAGAUGGCUACCAAUGGUUCAAUCAUUAAGAUAUAACUCAAGACUACUAAAUCUCCAAAAAUAUAUUUAAAUUGCACCUUUGAAAAAUCUUGCAGGCCAAUGUUUUCUAAGAACAUUAUUAGAAGUCAAUCCACAAUGCUAGGGAUGCUUCUUCACAACAAUAUCUAUGAUUCCAUGAGUGUGCAUUUUCAUGAUGGAUCAUUAUAUUACAUUUGAUUCUAAGAUGAUUGUACAUGUUAUCAUUUUAUUUUUUCUAUUCUUCAUAAAUCAAAUGUACUUACUUAUUUUCAAUAAAUUUGCAAAAUUAUAUUUUGAGAUACAAGCUAUAAGGUUCUUACAUUACAAACUAGUAAUGUAGGUGAAUUUUGUAGCAAAUGUUUUAGUAAUUAUCUACAUAUAGAAGGAAUCAAAUAUGAAUUGAUUGUAUCAUAUAUUCCAAAACAAAAUGUUGUCUUAGAGAAAGAUAAUCAAAUUAUUAUAGAAGUUGUUAGAAGUUUGAUCUACUAUACUCACUUAGAUCCUAUGUUUUGGAUAGAGGCUUUAAAUAAUAUUGGUUAUACUUUAAAUCAAAUAUGUUCUUGUCUUCUUCCAAAUGCUAUUAUUUUCAAAGCUUUUAUUGAUAAAAGUAACCAUGUCUUGCCCAUAUGCAAUCAUUUUGUUGCAAAGUUAAUUCUCAUAUUUUUAAUAAGCUUUGUAAGAAACUCAAUCCAAAGAGCAAAACUAGAUUAUUUCUUAGAUAUUCCAAUGAGACUAAGGGCUAGUGCAUUUGGAACUUAUAUCAUAAACAAAUUAUCAUCAGUAGAGAUGUAUUGUUUGAUGAGCAUAAUUAUGCUCAAGAAACACCAUCUAUUGCUUUUUAGUCUUCCAACACUACAUCUAUGGAAGUUCAUUUUCUAAAAUUUCAAUACCCUCUUUUAGUGGAGAUAAAUCAUAAUUAUUGUACCUCAAGUUUUAAUUUUCUUAUCUCCUCAAAUUCAAUUUAGAUUCCUUAUUUAACAUCAAGUAAUAUAGUUAGUACUUCAAAUACUUCCAAUAUGACAAGUAGUGAGAGUACUUCUACUCUAGGUAAUGACAAUGUUGAUUUCAUUGAUAAUUACUUUAAUGAAGUUUAUAUUCAAUCUUUAAAAACAACUCGCAUUGUACUUUUGCAAAUUCUAUUAUGACUCUACCAUUUGCUUUAGCUUUAAAGUCUCUAGUAUCUUCAUUUGGAUUUCUACAUGAGGUUCUUCAAUUAUAUCACAAGACACUUCAUUUCUUUUAUUCUUUACAAUCAAAAAAAGUAAUGCAAGCAUAGUAUGAAUCUUUAUUUGACAAUAAAACAUGGAAGUUUAUAGACUUACUCUUGUGGUACAAAUCCAUUAAUUGUAAAUGGAUCUAUGCUCUCAAAACUAAAACUAAUGAUACUAUUGAUUGUUUUAAAGAAAGAUUAGUGGCUAAAGGUUAUUCAUAGAAAAUUGGUGUUGAUUUUAUUAAGACUUAUUCUCCUAUUGUGAAGUAUAAUUCAAUCCAAUUGGUUCUUUCAAUUGUUGCAUGGAAGGAUAUGCAUAUUUGACAAUUCAAUAUUAAGACUACUUUUUUACAUGGUCAACUUGAACAUUAGACAUAUAUGAAGCAAGUCCCUAGAUUUGAAGAUCCUUAAAUUUUUCAUAAGGUCUAUUGCCAGAAAAAGACAUUGUAUGGUUUACAGCAAGCAAAGCUAUACAUAGAAUAAAUGCAUAACCUAAUUUUUAGUAACCUAUAAGCUUAAACAAAGUAUUGUUGAUGCUUGUAUCUAUUGUUCCGAUACAAAUAAUCAACUCAUUCUCAUAAUGUUUGUUGAUGAUGAUUUGUAUUGUUGCCAAGAUGCUUGCCGCAUUCUCUAUGUUCUUAUGAUAAUAAACAACAUUGUUGAAACAAAGAUCAAUGAUCCAGAUACUUAAGUGAGGUUGCAAAUUGAAUGUGAUUGUUUUGCUACACUCAUUUUUAUACAUCAAUGUGCUUAUUUGGAGAGAAUUCUUUGUGAAUAUGGAUUUUCUAAAUCUUCAUCCAUUUCAACUCCAAUUUCUUCUAAUUCUUUUCUUUGUGGCAUCAAUUCUAUCAAUACAAAAUUUAAUAAUAAAUUUCCUUUUGUCAAUGCUAUUGGUAGUCUCUAAUUUGCCUCAAUAGAUAAUUGCUGUGAUAUUAUCUACUCACUAAAUAAUAUUACUCAUUUUAAAUCAAGAUUUACUCAAACUUAUUAUAAUGCUAUUAAAAAGAUAUUUUGGUAUAUUUAGAUAACUUUGGAUUCCAACCUUGUAUAUGGUGGAACAAAUUCUUUGACUCAAUUCACUAGGUUUGUUGAUGCAAAUUAAGCGGCCAAUUUGGACAAUCAACAAUCACAUAUUUGAUACGUUUUAUUUUUAAAUGAUGGGUCUAUUAGUUGGGGCUCAAAGAAACAAUAUUGUUUAGUCAAUAUUACUACAUAUUCCAAUUAUAUCAUCUUCUUUAUGGCUACAAAAGAAAUAAUUUUGUAUCGACAAAUGCUAGCAGAUCUUGGAUUUCUUGAAGAGAAAGCUACCAUUGUUUACUCUAAUUCUCAAAGUGCAAUUCAAUUGAUAGUUAAACCCAAGUUUCAUUCAAGAACCAAGCAUGUUGAUAUUGAAUAUCACAUGUUUCCAAGAAAAAAUUAAGAAUGGUGUUUUACAUAUUGAUUAUAUUUCUAUGAAUGCCAACAUAGCAAACAUUUUUACAAAAGCCUUGAAUCUUGAAAAAUUCAAGAAAUUACAUGCUUUUCUUACUAUAUAUUCUUGCUAAUACUUUACUUCUCCAUUGUAGUGAGAGUAUUACUACAUGUUGUAAUAUCAAUAGAGAAGUUAUUCUUUAAUGAAAAUUCAGUAACUAGUGUGUUAUUUUUAAGAAGGAAUAACUUCUCCCCCAGUACAUUACUAUUUUUCUUGUUGUAAUGAAGUGGCAUGAAUUAUACCCGAUGUAAUGGUGUUAAGUGCCGUGAGCCAACUUAAUUGCCACUGGGCUAGCUUUCUUGCUAGCUGCUCUAACUACUACCCUCAAGUCUACUGAUCUUCACCUUUGCAUUCCCUCGCAAUAUUCACAAAUACACUCAGAAAAAUUAGAGUACACAGUUGGAAACCAACUAAAAGACACGGGUACGGUGAUGACACAAAAUGAGAUGAGUGUGAGAAGGAGUAGAAAGUAUUUACUCACGUCUGCUCAAGCCUACGUAUUGUCAAUAUAGGGUCUGUCAAGAUUCGUCCUUUCAUCAAUUAAAGAAAGACGUUCAGGGUUUCAUUCGUUGCUCAGCAAAUGCAUUACACUGGUUUCAAAUUUACCUUGACAGGAUUGUAUUAAGUCAUGUUGAAUACUUAAAUUUUCCGACUAGUGUGCCAAAUUUAUAACACCGUUCCAAUUCGAACAGUCCCAUAGACCCCCCGUGGCCGAGCUCGCCAAUUCUCACGCCAGUCGCUCAUGCAUAUUGUCGACGAGGUUUCAAAACAGUGGAGGAUUGUUCAAGUCCAAUGUGGCGCCGGUGCAACCCAGCAUAGCAGCAUCUGUACAAAAAAUAUCAUUUCAUAUGCGGGCACUCUUGACCCCAAUCAAUACUACGAUGCCGUCUCAGAGUAGUUGUCCCUAAUCCAACAACCCUCCUAUC